ensembl:lncRNA
GUCAUGUUCUUUUCACUGAUGGAGUCAGAAUGAGUCUGAUGGAUGAAGAGAAUAAUGAGGAACAGAGUGUAAACAGUACAGCGUGAUGUUAAAAAAAGGGGGGAAACGGAAAGAGAUCAAACAGCCUGUGUAAUUCUACUUUGAUGUCUUUGUCCCUUGCUCAAUCUUGUAGUGGUUGGGGUUUAUUAGAAUAUUCCACAACGAGGUCUAGGCUCCAUAGUCUGCCAAAUUCUCAGCGUGCUUGUAAGUCUUAUCUAUGCAUCCUGGAAGUCCAAAUUUGGAUUUGAUUUACUAGACCAGUACUGUUCUAAUCUAAGAGAUCGAUUGCUGUUAGUGGUAAUAGGAGUCAUUCAACAUUUAGCCACAUUCUCACAUAAACACUAGCUUGGAAAAACUAGUCUGAAGGGCAGGUGGGAGUAUUUUAGCCAGUAUUUUAGCCACAAGAUGUUCAGGGCCUGGAGAAGAAUCUGAGUAUGGCUAUACUGUUUUGCUCAUGGCUGGUCUUGGCAGUUCUUGUUACACACUGUACGCAGCUCUGCUUGGAAAAUGUACCCAUUGUAGAAGAAUGGCAAGGAAGCACAGGAAAGGCUAUUUCAUGGAGGGGAGAGCAGAGGAUAGGUUCGAGAAGCCAGGUGGAUGUACCAAGACUUGUAAGGUGUGAAAGGAUGUUUUAGUCCAAAAUGGUCUCUAAUGGCAUAUGGCCCGAGAUGCUGGGAUAGGCCUCUGCAUCCCUACAAUCCUACAGAGGAAAAGCAGUUUGUAAAAUUCAUGGAUGGACGGUCUCUAAUGAGGAUAGCAGAGCAGAGGGUGACAGGACCAUAUAAUGCAUCAGGAGUAUUGGAGAAUUUAUAAGGGAUGAUAACCAUUUUGUUUUGAUUCGGCUAAUUAAAUCCUGCCCACCAAUCAUGGAUGUUGGAGGUAGUGGGGAGAGGUGGAGAAGAGAUGGUUGAAUGGAAAGAAUGGUAUCAGUGCUGACUGAAUUCCUUAUCAUUUGAUCCCUGAGAGAUGUAAUGAUUGACAUUUAUUUUAGUGUAAAUGUUAAAGGCUAUUUUUAGUACGAUAAUAAAAAAUGUGUGUAAACACGCGAAUGCAAUAGACAUUACUCGGAGCAAGUAUAUAUAACAUUGGUACUGAGCGGACAGAUGGUGCAUGAGUCCACAGGACAGACAGUUAAUCUCUAUGAUGAUCAAAGCCAGGAAAAGGGUGGAAACAUGAGGGUGCAGAAGGAGACACACUCUUUGACUAAAUGUAAACCACAAGUGAGUCAAUGGCAUUCUUUAUAACACACGAGAUGAAGGAAAGAAAAAGAAACAAAACAGGAUGAAGGACACAAAACAUCAAACUUACUAUACUGUCAUUUGAAAAAGGGCUGGGUUG